rnacentral:rRNA from 1 species
UACGUAGGGUGCAAGCGUUGUCCGGAAUUAUUGGGCGUAAAGAGCUCGUAGGUGGCCUGUCGCGUCGGCUGUGAAAACUCGGGGCUCAACUCCGAGCUUGCAGUCGAUACGGGCAGGCUAGAGUUCGGCAGGGGAGACUGGAAUUCCUGGUGUAGCGGUGAAAUGCGCAGAUAUCGGGAAGAACACCCGUGGCGAAGGCGGCUCUCUGGAACGCAACUGACGCUGAGACGCGAAAGCGUGGGGAGCAAACAGG